UGGUGGAGUGAUUUGUCUGGUUAAUUCCGUUAACGAACGAGACCUUAACCUAUUAAAUAGUAACACGAACUUGAAUCAUGCGUCGCGUCUCCGUUUCGGCGGGAUGCGUCCUCCAUGGUUCUACCGUUCAGUGAAUACUUCUUAGAGGGACUCAUUGCAUAUCUAGCAAUUGGAAGUUUGAGGCAAAAACAA
rnacentral:rRNA from 1 species